UGCUUCUACAAAACUCUAUUUAAGUGUUUAUAUCCAAAGUAAAACAUCACGACCCGCACAUGCUGCAGCAGAACAACAAGAUCGUUGCUCAUUGUCACCUGUACCGGACCAGUUUCGGAUUUCUGUGGAGUUUUUGAAGGCUUUAUACAACGUGCAACACAUAAGACCAUCAGAUCUACUGGGAGGAGCAGUUCAUGGAGUAGACAUGGAACCAACAGUCAGAUUCCGGGUCCUCAUUGAUCACGAGGUCAAAAACCUACACUCAACAGUGGCAUACCCUCAACUGUGGAUGAAUUGGUUGCAGCCAUCAAAGAACAAUUUGCCAUCACCACAGAAAUCAGUCUUCAGUACAAAGAUGAAGAGUUUGAUGACUUUUUCACCCUAUCGACCACAAAGGAACUUAAAGAUAAAGACACACUGAAAGUAGUGUAUGUACCGCUAAACAUAACA